rnacentral:rRNA from 1 species
UACGAAGGGGCUAGCGUUGUUCGGAAUCACUGGGCGUAAAGCGCACGUAGGCGGAUGUGCCAGUCAGGGGUGAAAUCCCGGAGCUCAACUCCGGAACUGCCUCUGAUACAGCACGUCUUGAGUUCGAGAGAGGUGGGUGGAAUUCCUAGUGUAGAGGUGAAAUUCGUAGAUAUUAGGAAGAACACCGGUGGCGAAGGCGGCCCACUGGCUCGAUACUGACGCUGAGGUGCGAAAGCGUGGGGAGCAAACAGG